rnacentral:rRNA from 1 species
GAUCCUGGCUCAGAUUGAACGCUGGCGGCAGGCCUAACACAUGCAAGUCGAAUGGUAACAGGAAACAGCUUGCUGUUUCGCUGACGAGUGGCGGACGGGUGAGUAAUGUCUGGGAAACUGCCUGAUGGAGGGGGAUAACUACUGGAAACGGUAGCUAAUACCGCAUAACGUCGCAAGACCAAAGAGGGGGACCUUCGGGCCUCUUGCCAUCAGAUGUGCCCAGAUGGGAUUAGCUAGUAGGUGGGGUAACGGCUCACCUAGGCGACGAUCCCUAGCUGGUCUGAGAGGAUGACCAGCCACACUGGAACUGAGACACGGUCCAGACUCCUACGGGAGGCAGCAGUGGGGAAUAUUGCACAAUGGGCGCAAGCCUGAUGCAGCCAUGCCGCGUGUAUGAAGAAGGCCUUCGGGUUGUAAAGACUUUUCAGCGGGGAGGAAGGGAGUAAAGUUAAUACCUUUGCUCAUUGACGUUACCCGCAGAAGAAGCACCGGCUAACUCCGUGCCAGCAGCCGCGGUAAUACGGAGGGUGCAAGCGUUAAUCGGAAUUACUGGGCGUAAAGCGCACGCAGGCGGUUUGUUAAGUCAGAUGUGAAAUCCCCGGGCUCAACCUGGGAACUGCAUCUGAUACUGGCAAGCUUGAGUCUCGUAGAGGGGGGUAGAAUUCCAGGUGUAGCGGUGAAAUGCGUAGAGAUCUGGAGGAAUACCGGUGGCGAAGGCGGCCCCCUGGACGAAGACUGACGCUCAGGUGCGAAAGCGUGGGGAGCAAACAGGAUCAGAUACCCUGGUAGUCCACGCCGUAAACGAUGUCGACUUGGAGGUUGUGCCCUUGAGGCGUGGCUUCCGGAGCUAACGCGUUAAGUCGACCGCCUGGGGAGUACGGCCGCAAGGUUAAAACUCAAAUGAAUUGACGGGGGCCCGCACAAGCGGGGAGCAAGUGGUUU